GUGCUAAAACAUGUGCCAAUCAGCUUACUGACGUUUUUACUAACACUUUCAACGUCUCUCUCUUGCAGGAGACUUCCCACCUACCUUGAAACAGCCACCGUCGAUAAAGUAUGCCUUAACAACUACCGUCCUGUGGCUCAUUCCCCAAUCCUGAUGACACGUUUUGAGAAACUGGUUCUGCAGUACAUCAAGACAACGUCGCUGCCAGGCUCAACAUUUCACCUUUGACAUGAACCCCGCCAUGUGACAGUUAUUAUAAACCUCCACCAGCCUCACCGUGACCCUCAUAAAACACGGACAAGGCCGGCCUCUCUCUGCUUCACUCUCUGAGUGGGAGUAUUCUGCCUUCGCCAGAAUCUAAUAAAAAUGCUGCUGAAGAGAAGAAGAGGGAUGAAAAACGCAGGGCUUUAUGAAGUUGCACCCAGAAUGGUUUCAGUCAGAUUAGAGAGGUACGGUCGAGCCAGAUGUAUGUUGGCAGCGGGACAAGGCUUAAAUAGAAGGUCUGGAUUCUGUUUACAAUAUUCCAGAUCCUUACAAGAGGGAGAGGAGGCGAAAACAACACCCACCCUG